CUACGGAGGAUCCGAGCGUUAUCCGGAUUUAUUGGGUUUAAAGGGUGCGCAGGCGGGAGAUUAAGUCGGCGGUGAAAUUUUGCAGCUCAACUGUAAAAGUGCCCUCGAAACUGGUUUCCUUGAGUGUAGAUGAAGUAGGCGGAAUUUGUGGUGCAGCGGUGAAAUGCAUAGAUAUCACGAGGAACUCCGAUUGCGCAGGCAGCUUACUAAACUACUACUGACGCUCAGGCACGAAGGCGUGGGGAUCAAACAGGAUUAGAUACCCUGGUAGUCCACGCAGUAAACGAUGAUUACUAGCUGUUUGCGAUACAAUGUAAGCGGCUGAGCGAAAGCGUUAAGUAAUCCACCUGGGGAGUACGUUCGCAAGAAUGAAACUCAAAUGAAUUGACGGGG
rnacentral:rRNA from 1 species